UUAAAGUAAAGAAGAGCUUAAGCCCUUUUACAACAUUUGAUCAAAUCAAAUUACAACCAAAAUCUAAUCUACUCAUUCCCAUGGUUCAAACAAAUUUGAAACGGCCUAUCAAUUAGCUCAAUUAUAUUAGGCUUAGGUUCAUUAUCACCCUUUAAUUAAUUAACACUUUAACUAAUUAAAUUGAAUGCAACAUUUUCAU
rnacentral:lncRNA from 1 species